rnacentral:rRNA from 1 species
UACACUCCUGCGGGAGGCAGCAGUGGGGAAUAUUGGACAAUGGGCGCAAGCCUGAUCCAGCCAUGCCGCGUGAGUGAUGAAGGCCCUAGGGUUGUAAAGCUCUUUCACCGGUGAAGAUAAUGACGGUAACCGGAGAAGAAGCCCCGGCUAACUUCGUGCCAGCAGCCGCGGUAAUACGAAGGGGGCUAGCGUUGUUCGGAUUUACUGGGCGUAAAGCGCACGUAGGCGGACUAUUAAGUCAGGGGUGAAAUCCCGGGGCUCAACCCCGGAACUGCCUUUGAUACUGGUAGUCUUGAGUUCGAGAGAGGUGAGUGGAAUUCCGAGUGUAGAGGUGAAAUUCGUAGAUAUUCGGAGGAACACCAGUGGCGAAGGCGGCUCACUGGCUCGAUACUGACGCUGAGGUGCGAAAGCGUGGGGAGCAAACAGGAUUAGAAACCCGGGUACCC